CUCCUCUUCCUGAGGAGACUAAAGAAAGUCCACCUGUCUCCUCAUAUUCUGGUGAACUUCUACCGCUGCACCAUCGAGAGCAUCCUUACCAACUGUAUCACAGUAUGGUACGGCAACUGCUCUGUCU